rnacentral:rRNA from 1 species
AGAGUUUGAUCCUGGCUCAGGAUGAACGCUGGCGGCGUGCUUAACACAUGCAAGUCGAACGGGAAAUAUUUCAUUGAGGCUUCGGUGGAUUUGAUCUAUUUCUAGUGGCGGACGGGUGAGUAACGCGUGGGUAACCUGCCUUAUACAGGGGGAUAACAGUCAGAAAUGGCUGCUAAUACCGCAUAAGCGCACAGAGCUGCAUGGCUCAGUGUGAAAAACUCCGGUGGUAUAAGAUGGACCCGCGUUGGAUUAGCUUGUUGGCAGGGUAACGGCCUACCAAGGCGACGAUCCAUAGCCGGCCUGAGAGGGUGAACGGCCACAUUGGGACUGAGACACGGCCUAGACUCCUACGGGAGGCAGCAGUGGGGAAUAUUGCACAAUGGGGGAAACCCUGAUGCAGCGACGCCGCGUGAAGGAAGAAGUAUCUCGGUAUGUAAACUUCUAUCAGCAGGGAAGAUAGUGACGGUACCUGACUAAGAAGCCCCGGCUAACUACGUGCCAGCAGCCGCGGUAAUACGUAGGGGGCAAGCGUUAUCCGGAUUUACUGGGUGUAAAGGGAGCGUAGACGGUGUGGCAAGUCUGAUGUGAAAGGCAUGGGCUCAACCUGUGGACUGCAUUGGAAACUGUCAUACUUGAGUGCCGGAGGGGUAAGCGGAAUUCCUAGUGUAGCGGUGAAAUGCGUAGAUAUUAGGAGGAACACCAGUGGCGAAGGCGGCUUACUGGACGGUAACUGACGUUGAGGCUCGAAAGCGUGGGGAGCAAACAGGAUUAGAUACCCUGGUAGUCCACGCCGUAAACGA